CUUCUCAUAACUAAGUAAUAUUUUAAGAAGAGUGGCGUCAUCAUAAUCCGUUUAUGUAUUGUUGUGUCUUUUAUACUUUCGUUCAAGAUUUCUGCGCAUUUAGCAAUUCGCCGACAACACGUCAUUUUUAAACGAAAAAUAUUUGAGGUGGCGAUCGGCUGUCGCGUUCGGGAGAUCGUUUACGUUUUAAAAAACGCGAAGUCUAAAAGUCGAUUUCGAACCAGUCAAACUCAAUCCGUUUUACGGUUAAAUCGCAGACGUGAAUAUAGAAACCUUAUGUACCAUGGUACUCGAGUCUCGAGAUCAAGUCCGUCAGUCGCAGUUCGAACACGGUGAGCUAUACUUAUCUACCCACGCAGAACCGUUCAGAGCCCCGAGCCGUUGUCACAUCUCGUAAACUUCGACAAUAACACAAUUGAUUCAUCGUCCAUUCUACAUACACAUUCUAAGGGGUACGAGUCUGGCCAACAAACCUUGAAAUGCAGUAAAAAUGUAUGUUCCGAGUGAAGCGAUGAAUGUUUGUACUUUUGCAGUAGUGAUUUUACGAGUUUUUUCGUCCGUUCUUCAUCGCCUUUUGGAGCAGUUGAAGUUUGCCCACAUACGCUGCACACUUGCCC